UCCCAGGUGGCCUAGUGGUUAAUGAUUCAGCAUUGUCACUGCUAUGGCUCAGGUUUGAUCCCUGGCCCAGGAA
rfam:Sus scrofa chromosome X.